UAAUUAGAGUUACGAUGUUAAUGUCUUUAUAAUCAAUACUCUGUAUUGUAUAUACAUGUAAAUAGUUCUGCUUGCAUGAAUUUAAGCACUUCAUUUCUUACUUAUGUUCUUUAGGUUUACAGUGCAAUUAUUUAACAUAUUUACAUCACUAGGAUUCUUCAGAAUAGCUAAGCAAUUUAAAACCUGAGAAGCUGGAUGCCCAAGUCUUUGGUACCACAGUCUGCAACUGAGAG
rnacentral:lncRNA from 1 species